CGGAGUCUGCAACCCGACUCCGUGAAGCUGGAUUCGCUAGUAAUCGCGCAUCAGCCAUGGCGCGGUGAAUACGUUCCCGGGCCUUGUACACACCGCCCGUCAAGCCAUGGGAGCCGGGGGUGCUUGAAGUGCGUCGCCGCAAGGCGCGCCCUAGAGCAAAACCGGUGACUGGGGCUAAGUCGUAACAAGGUAUC
rnacentral:rRNA from 1 species